GUGCUCAUUUCAAUAGCAUAUAUACUAAUAUUUGAAUGAUACAGAGAUUAACAUGGCCCCUGAACAAGGAUGACAUGCAAAUUCAUGAAGUGUUCCAUAUUUUU
ensembl:snRNA U6 U6 spliceosomal RNA